rnacentral:rRNA from 1 species
AGAACGAACGCUGGCGGCAUGCCUAAUACAUGCAAGUCGAACGAACUCUUCGGAGUUAGUGGCGCACGGGUGCGUAACGCGUGGGAAUCUGCCCCUUGGUUCGGAAUAACAGUUGGAAACGACUGCUAAUACCGGAUGAUGACGAAAGUCCAAAGAUUUAUCGCCAAGGGAUGAGCCCGCGUAGGAUUAGCUAGUUGGUGAGGUAAAGGCUCACCAAGGCAACGAUCCUUAGCUGGUCUGAGAGGAUGAUCAGCCACACUGGGACUGAGACACGGCCCAGACUCCUACGGGAGCAGCAGUAGGGAAUAGUGGACAAGUGGGACGAAAGCCUAGAUCCAGCAAUGACCGCGUGAGUGAUGAAGGCCGUUAGGUGUAAG